CCUAUUCCCUAUAUAGUGCACUACUUUAGACCAGAGCCAUAUUCCCUAUAUAGUGCACUACUUUUGACCAGAGCCCUAUUCCCUACAUAGUGCACUACUUUAGACCAGAGCCCUGUAUAGUGCAUAGGGUGCCAUAUGAAAGCUCAGCGCUGUGGUUCUGUAUGACCCUCAGCAGCCACCGUACUUCACUGUUGGCUUGCACAGUUUAGUUUAGUUCAGCACGUUCCUACCAAAACACCCAUGGAGACGUCUUGUUGAUAACAGCUUGCAUAACUAAACCAUUCAUAUUAUAGAUCUAAUCCGUGUCAAAAUAAGUGACAUUUACACAGAUUUACAAAGAUUUACACACGCACACACAGAGAGGCACACACACACAGAGAGACACACACACACACGUUCCUGCCAGAGCGUUCUAUCUCUGCCCUCUCAGCCCAGGACAGGACCAGAUCAGAACACCCCAGAGAACAGACUCAGCUGUGGAACAACGGGACAUUCCAGAUUGUUGCCAGGUCUGUCUGGCAUUCAGACAGACAUUUCUGGAACCCCCAAGGAUUAUGGGACUGUAGAGGACUGGACCUCCCACUGUCUCUCUGAGAGGAUUAUGGGUAGUUUGUUUGGGUGUAAUUUGUUUUGGAGUGAAUAUUGAGUUUCUCCAUGAACUGUUGGCCCCAUUUGAGUGGACAGACAGAGAAACAGACAGACUCACAGACAGAGAAACAGACAGACUCACAGACAGAGAAACAGACAGACUCACAGACAGAGAAACAGACAGACUCACAGACAGAGAAACAGACAGACUCACAGACAGACUCACAGACAGAGAAACAGACAGACUCACAGACAGACUGUAUAAAUGUAAGAUAUUCAGGUCCUAUAAGGACAGCCAACCUACCGACCACCAAUCAGACAAAAGGAUGCAUCAUACCAGCUCUUACCUCCAGGGGGACUAUAAGAUAUGGGGUACCCCCCCUCCCCCAUCCAUGCACCCCUCCCCCCUUUCCCCUCUUCCUCUUUUCGUUGACCCAACAUAUUCUGUCAGAAUGCCUGUAUGGUUGUGGACUAGCGCUACGGACUAAUGGAGAUAUUACAAUGUCUGUAUGGUUGUGGACUAGCGCUACAGACUAAUGGAGAUAUUACAAUGUCUGUAUGGUUGUGGACUAGCGCUACGGACUAAUGGAGAUAUUACAAUGUCUGUAUGGUUGUGGACUAGCGCUACGGACUAAUGGAGAUAUUACAAUGUCUGUAUGGUUGUGGACUAGCGCUACGGACUAAUGGAGAUAUUACAAUGUCUGUAUGGUUGUGGACUAGCGCUACAGACUAAUGGAGAUAUUACAAUGUCUGUAUGGUUGUGGACUAGCGCUACGGACUAAUGGAGAUAUUACAAUGUCUGUAUGGUUGUGGACUAGCGCUACGGACUAAUGGAGAUAUUACAAUGUCUGUAUGGUUGUGGACUAGCGCUACGGACUAAUGGAGAUAUUACAAUGUCUGUAUGGUUGUGGACUAGCGCUACGGACUAAUGGAGAUAUUACAAUGUCUGUAUGGUUGUGGACUAGCGCUACGGACUAAUGGAGAUAUUACAAUGUCUGUAUGGUUGUGGACUAGCGCUACGGACUAAUGGAGAUAUUACAAUGUCUGUAUGGUUGUGGACUAGCGCUACGGACUAAUGGAGAUAUUACAAUGUCUGUAUGGUUGUGGACUAGCGCUACGGACUAAUGGAGAUAUUACAAUGUCUGUAUGGUUGUGGACUAGCGCUACGGACUAAUGGAGAUAUUACAAUGUCUGUAUGGUUGUGGACUAGCGCUACGGACUAAUGGAGAUAUUACAAUGUCUGUAUGGUUGUGGACUAGCGCUACGGACUAAUGGAGAUAUUACAAUGUCUGUAUGGUUGUGGACUAGCGCUACGGACUAAUGGAGAUAUUACAAUGUCUGUAUGGUUGUGGACUAGCGCUACGGACUAAUGGAGAUAUUACAAUGCCUGUAUGGUUGUAGACUAGCGCUACGGACUAAUGGAGAUAUUACAAUGUCUGUAUGGUUGUGGACUAGCGCUACGGACUAAUGGAGAUAUUACAAUGUCUGUAUGGUUGUGGACUAGCGCUACGGACUAAUGGAGAUAUUACAAUGUCUGUAUGGUUGUGGACUAGCGCUACGGACUAAUGGAGAUAUUACAAUGUCUGUAUGGUUGUGGACUAGCGCUACGGACUAAUGGAGAUAUUACAAUGUCUGUAUGGUUGUGGACUAGCGCUACGGACUAAUGGAGAUAUUACAAUGUCUGUAUGGUUGUGGACUAGCGCUACGGACUAAUGGAGAUAUUACAAUGUCUGUAUGGUUGUGGACUAGCGCUACGGACUAAUGGAGAUAUUACAAUGUCUGUAUGGUUGUAGUCUAGCGCUACGGACUAAUGGAGAUAUUACAAUGUCUGUAUGGUUGUGGACUAGCGCUACGGACUAAUGGAGAUAUUACAAUGUCUGUAUGGUUGUGGACUAGCGCUACGGACUAAUGGAGAUAUUACAAUGUCUGUAUGGUUGUGGACUAGCGCUACGGACUAAUGGAGAUAUUACAAUGUCUGUAUGGUUGUGGACUAGCGCUACGGACUAAUGGAGAUAUUACAAUGUCUUUAUGGUUGUAGUCUAGAGCUACGGACUAAUGGAGAUAUUACAAUGUCUGUAUGGUUGUGGACUAGCGCUACGGACUAAUGGAGAUAUUACAAUGUCUGUAUGGUUGUGGACUAGCGCUACGGACUAAUGGAGAUAUUACAAUGUCUGUAUGGUUGUGGACUAGCGCUACGGACUAAUGGAUAUAUUACAAUGUCUGUAUGGUUGUGGACUAGCGCUACGGACUAAUGGAGAUAUUACAAUGUCUGUAUGGUUGUGGACUAGCGCUACGGACUAAUGGAGGUAUUACAAUGUCUGUAUGGUUGUAGACUAGCGCUACGGACUAAUGGAGAUAUUACAAUGUCUGUAUGGUUGUGGACUAGCGCUACGGACUAAUGGAGAUAUUACAAUGCCUAUAUGGUUGUGGACUAGCGCUACGGACUAAUGGAGAUAUUACAAUGUCUGUAUGGUUGUGGACUAGCGCUACGGACUAAUGGAGAUAUUACAAUGUCUGUAUGGUUGUGGACUAGCGCUACGGACUAAUGGAGAUAUUACAAUGUCUGUAUGGUUGUAGACUAGCGCUACGGACUAAUGGAGAUAUUACAAUGUCUGUAUGGUUGUGGACUAGCGCUACGGACUAAUGGAGAUAUUACAAUGUCUGUAUGGUUGUGGACUAGCGCUACGGACUAAUGGAGAUAUUACAAUGUCUGUAUGGUUGUGGACUAGCGCUACGGACUAAUGGAGGUAUUACAAUGUUUGUAUGGUUGUGGACUAGCGCUACGGACUAAUGGAGAUAGUACAAUGUCUGUACAUGUAGAUGGUGAAGAUACAAGGUUUUCUAUUUCUGUGGAUGUUUUAUUCUGUGACCUCACCGUGCAGGAAAACCUCUGGAUCGUAGGUCCUGGAGAAACUCCUAUGCUUGUGAUCUACCCCAGCGUUUCUCAGACUAAUCAGAGCUUGAUGACGCAAUGGGCUAAUACCCAAUAGGCUGAUCUGUCCUCACUGAUCCCACGUACAGUGUGUGAGGUCGAGGGCGUCGUCAUCAUGAGUAGCGCCCAGAGGAUUUCCUGACUACGUUAACUAACCAGGAACGACUCUGCUAGAGGCCUGGGCCUGUAUUCACAAAGCGUCUCCUGAGUGGCGCAGUGGUCUAAGGCACUGUAGCUACAGUGCCAGACGCAUCACUACAGACACCCUUGUUCGAAUCCAGGCUGUAUCACAACCGGCUGUGAUUGGGAGUCCCACAGAGUCCCACAGUGCACAAUUGGCUCAGCGUCGUCCGGGGCAGGCCGUCAUUGUAAAUACAAAUAUGUUCUUAACUGUCUUGCCUAGUUAAAUAAAGGUUUAAGAGUAUGAAUGCUGAUCUAGGAUCAGGUCGUCCAUGUAAUCUUAUUUGUUAUGUUCUGAAAGGCAAACCUGAUUCUAGAUCAGCGCUCCUGCUCCUAUUCUUAGACAUAUUGAGAAUACGGGCCCUGGGUAGGUCCCAUGGGCAGGGUAAACUCCUGUCUCUAGCCUACUCAUGACGUGAUAUCUCCAUGAUGUGUAGAAUGUACAUACCAAGUUCUAAAACAGAGAAGAACAGGAAUAAAUAUGUUGUUCUGUGUUCCGUUAGAAGUCGACAUGAUUCUAAUGAUUCUAAUGAUUAAAAGAGAUGACCAACU